UGGUCUAAGGGAUGCAUUCAGGGGGCCCGCARGGGCAACCGGCAAACGGGUGCGUAACACAUUGGUAACCUACCUCCGACUGGGGAAUAGCUCCGCGAAAGCGGAAUUAAUACCGCAUAUUCUCUGCCUAUUAUUUAGGUAGAGGAAAGCUCCGGCGGUCGGAGAGGGGCCUAUGGCCUAUCAGCUAGUUGGUGAGGUAAUAGCUCACCAAGGCAAUGACGGGUAGCGGGUGUGAGAGCACGACCCGCCUCACUGGGACUGAGACACUGCCCAGACUCCUACGGGAGGCUGCAGUCAAGAAUAUUCCUCAAUGGGCGAAAGCCUGAAGGAGCAAUGCCGCGUGGUCGAAGAAGCACCUCGGUGCGUAAAGACCUUUUAUAAGGGAAGAACAAAUGACGGUACCUUAUGAAUAAGGGGUCGCUAACUCUGUGUACGUGUACGUG
rnacentral:rRNA from 1 species